rnacentral:misc_RNA from 1 species
GAAAUGCGAUAAGUAAUGUGAAUUGCAGAAUUCAGUGAAUCAUCGAAUCUUUGAACGCACCUUGUGCUCCUUGGUAUUCCUUGGAGCAUGCCUGUUUGAGUAUCAUGAAAUCUUCAAAGUAAAUCUUUUGUUAACUCAAUUGGUUUCUACUUUGGUAUUGGAGGUCUUUGCAGCUUCACACCUGCUCCUCUUUGUUCAUUAGCUGGAUCUCAGUGUUAUGCUUGGUUCCACUCGGCGUGAUAAGUUAUCUAUCGCUGAGGACACUGUAAAAGGUGGCCAAGGUAAAUGCAGAUGAACCGCUUCUAAUAGUCCAUUGACUUGGACAAUACUUUUAUGAUCUGAUCUCAAAUCAGGUAGGACUACCCUCUGAACUUAAGC